GAUGAACGCUAGCGGCAGGCUUAACACAUGCAAGUCGAGGGGUAUUGGUUUUCGGACCAAGAGACCGGCGCACGGGUGCGUAACGCGUAUGCAAUCUACCUUUUGCAGAGGGAUAGCCCAGAGAAAUUUGGAUUAAUACCUCAUAGUAUAGCACUUUGGCAUCAAGGAACUAUUAAAGUCACAACGGCAAAAGAUGAGCAUGCGUCCCAUUAGCUAGUUGGUAAGGUAACGGCUUACCAAGGCUACGAUGGGUAGGGGUCCUGAGAGGGAGAUCCCCCACACUGGUACUGAGACACGGACCAGACUCCUACGGGAGGCAGCAGUGAGGAAUAUUGGACAAUGGGCGCAAGCCUGAUCCAGCCAUGCCGCGUGCAGGAUGACGGUACCUAUGGAGUUGUAAACUAGCUUUUAUUACAGGAAGAAACAACUACUUCGUGUAGGGUACGUUGACGGUAACUGUAUGAAUAAGGA
rnacentral:rRNA from 1 species